rnacentral:rRNA from 1 species
GAUGAACGCUAGCGGCAGGCCUAACACAUGCAAGUCGAGGGAGAAGCCCUUUCGGGGGCAGAAACCGGCGCACGGGUGCGUAACGCGUAUGCAACCUACCUUUCACAGGGGGAUAGCCCGAAGAAAUUUGGAUUAAUACCCCAUAAUAUUAUUGGAUGGCAUCAUUUGAUAAUUAAAACUGCGGUGGUGAAAGAUGGGCAUGCGUCCUAUUAGCUAGUUGGAGUGGUAACGGCACCCCAAGGCUACGAUAGGUAGGGGUCCUGAGAGGGAGAUCCCCCACACUGGUACUGAGACAGGGACCAGACUCCUACGGGAGGCAGCAGUGAGGAAUAUUGGUCAAUGGUCGGAAGACUGAACCAGCCAUGCCGCGUGCAGGAAGAAUGCCUUAUGGGUUGUAAACUGCUUUUAUAUGGGAAGAAUAAGGUGUACGUGUACAUUGAUGACGGUACCAUAUGAAUAAGCAUCGGCUAACUCCGUG